ensembl:lncRNA
GGAUAGAGACAUUGAUGAAGAUGUUUUAGCUAGUGAUCGAUUGCCAGAACUCUUUGAAUUGCCCUUUCUUUCUUGAGUUUCCUGCCUUAUGGAGCGGCAUCUCACUGGAUGUUGGAGGAGAGAACUUCAAAGAGGAGCCAGAGGGCAGAGGUUGUCUGUUUCCAUGGACACUGCCAUGCGCUGGCCACUCCCACCAAGAGUCACCACAGAGCAUCAGCCAUGCUGCUGCCUUCCUGGGUCACCUCCAGCCCGAGACUGAGAUUCCCAUCACCGAGACUGGGCAGUCCUGCCUGUGCUGUCUCCUUCCACGGAAAGCAGGUGUUGGAAGGCGACCACUGACCUCCGGCAAACACUGGUUCACACGCAGUGCCAUUUUCACACCUGGGCUUUCCUCCAAGACUGCCUGCUCUCUGAGGUUGGGAGCCUCGUUAAUUCCGUGUUCCCGAACCCAGCGGAAUGCCAUACGUAUUACAACUUCAC